CAAUAGCGUAUAUUAAAGUUGUUGCGGUUAAAAAGCUCGUAGUUGGAUUUCUGCUGAGGACGACCGGUCCGCCCUCCGGGUGAGCAUCUGGUUCGGCCUUGGCAUCUUCUUGGUGAACGUAUCUGCACUUGACUGUGUGGUGCGGUACCCAGGACUUUACUUGAGGAAAUUAGAGUGUUUCAAGCAGGCAUACGCCUUGAAUACAUUAGCAUGGAAUAAUAAGAUAGGACCUCGGUUCUAUUUUGUUGGUUGCCAGAAACGAGGUAAUGAUGAAGAGGGAUAGUUGGGGGCAUUCGUAUUUAACUGUCAGAGGUGAAAUUCUUGGAUUUGUUAAAGACGAACUACUGCGAAAGCAUCAACCAAGGAUGUUUCAUUAAUCAAGAACGAAAGGUUAGGGGAUCGAAGAUGAUCAGAU
rnacentral:rRNA from 1 species